UUAACUAUUAUAUAGUACUCAGACGACACUAAUAUUCAGAGUUUGGGGUCCUCUGGCGGGCGCUUACCAGCCGGAGCCGGUAGCCUGACCGAGGCCGAGACGGCCCGCCAAAGCAACAAAGGUAAUGAUAACAUAGGGUGGGAAUUCUACCCGUUUAAGGGGAACUCGUUAAUGAUCCCUCCGCAGGUUCGCCUACGGAGA
rnacentral:misc_RNA from 1 species